rnacentral:siRNA from 1 species
CAUCUCCAACUGUGUCACUGUUAA